UGUCAAAAAGGAGAGAAAUGUAAAAGGAAAAAAAAAAAAAAAAAAAAAAAGAGGAGGCACUCUCCAACCUGCCCUUGUGAUUUCACCACCAAGCCCAGGCACUGGGGUGGAGACAUUUUAGGUCUUCCCUGAGGUUUGCCAAGUUCCUCACCCCAAUUCCUGAAUGUUUGAUGACUGAGAGAGAGUAUUUUGUCUUUAUGAUCUGCUUAGUAUUUAUGCUUCCAUUGCACAGUGGAGGUGGAGUCUGGGAUCUGAGCCCUGGUUCUCUAUCUAUCAUCCGUGUUCUCUUGUGCAAGUCAACUGCCAACAAGCCAUGAAGGCACAGGCUGGGAGACACAUGGGUUCUUUUUUUUUUUUUUAGAUGGAGUUUCACUUUUGUUGCCUUGUUGCCCAAGCUGGAGGGCAAUGGCACCAUCUCGGUCACUGUAACCUCCGCCUCCCGGUUCAAGUGAUUCUCCUGCCUCAGCCUCCUGAUGUACGGGUUCUUUAGCACUUGUAAAUGAAACAAGUCACUUCUAGCUCAAUACAAAUCACCGUAUGAAUUCUAAGGGGCAUUAAUAGGAGCAUGAUGUCUAGAAUGAAGGAGGUGAUGGUCCUUUUCACUGGAGCAGGUGGGAGCGCACCUCCAGAGGGCUGGGCCCCGAGGGCUAGGUGUGAAGAAGGUUCUUGCAGGCUGGAGUGUUUGGGCGGAUGUUGUUGAGGCAGAAAGCACAGGAAAUAUGGGCAGGCCAGAGGUGACUUCUAAAUUCCCUUCCAAUGCAGGGAGUUUGUGAAUCUAUGAACCUUUCUUUUUCAUUCCAGGAAGCAGCUGCUUGGGGAGUGGAGGUCCAAGGCUUUUCAGAUUGCUGGUGUGGUACCUAGCUAUGGAAACUACUGAGCAGUCAGGUUCACAGAGUUAGUGCCUGAGUGCAGCCUUGACCCCUAGUCUCACCACCGACAACACCAGGACCCCUUUAGGAUGGGUGUUCAAGGCCCUCCAGGACCACCUCUUGCUAAACCUCUGCUGCCUCAUGCCUAAAUACCUCUCUGCAUCCCUCACAGGCAAAAGAGAUCCAGACGAUAGAGUAACAUCAAAGGUUCUGUGAACUGCAGGUGAACAGACGAUCAUCUUCACCUACAGGGCUCAUCGCCUUUUCAUUCCCGUGCUUCUCGGGAGGAAAGCUACCGUGGAGCAGCCCUUCAGCAGAGGAAUCCGUGGUGGAAACCCAAGCGUCCUGGCUGCAGUCUCCUGGGAACUGGAGUGUGAAUGCUCUCCUUCUGACGGCAGACAGCUGAGAACCUGCAGGGUUAAAAGUGCACAGUCCGGGAAGGUUCUGUUCCCAGGACAGUGCUAUCGAGUCCACUUGCGGGCGCUCCACGCGGUCUACCUAAAGGGAACAGCCUGCGGCGUCGGCACCCUAUUCAUCUGUCCAGCGGCGGGAGGCUCCAGGUCCAGUCUGAGGAGUAAAUGCUGGGCGUGUAACCUCAUCAGUGUUGGAAACCUGGUGAGGCUACACGGCACAGAGGGGCCGGACUGAAUCAGGGAAAGAGGAGUUGGGCUGUCUUCUCAUUGUCACACACCAUCCCACCAUGGAGGACUCAGGCUGUCUCAUGGCUACAGAGGUAGUGAAGCAGUUGCCAGGCGCCAGAGCAGGAGCGGAAUUUCUCCGUGAAGACAGUGCAGGUCCAAAAGGGCCCAGUUUUGAAGACUGGGGGCAAGGAGUGGAGGAUGAAGCUGUCUGCUGGAUCACAAGAGUCAAAGACAUGCCUUCAGCCCACACAGGUGGGGAGGCUCAGAGUGCCUGCCCCCUAGGGCCUCCACGCUGGACAUUGGGUCAGGGAAGCCCCCUUUCCUGAGUUGUUCUGUGGGACUCCAAAGGGCCUCCUGCCAAGCUCUCUGACAGUUCACAUCCCAUCUGAAGAGCCUCAUGCACCAGUCCAGGGCCUCUGAGAAGCAGAUGCCAAGAGGGGAUUAAAAAUGCCAAGAUUUUGUUGGAGGAGAUGCCCAGGUGAGGAAAGUCAGAGGGAGCCUGUCUGAGGAGUUUUCAGACCGGGACUCAGGGCAGACCCUGAGGGGAGGAGGGAGAACAGGUUGGGAGGCUGCAUCCUAGACUGCCAUGGAGUCUAAGGAAGAUUCCACGGCCAUGCAAGAGUGCUCCAGCCAAAGGCACCCUUGGAGGAGCCCACCUCUCCCGGGGACUGCCUCCCUUCAUGUCCUCCUGUGCUCAGUCCCUUCAGAGUGCAGCCCCUUUGGCCUUGGACACUUCCUCUCCCUGCAUUUCAUGGGCUGCAGGGCGUGUUCUCCCGGCCUCCACACCCAGGCCUGCUCAGAGGUAGGGUUGGGUGAACCUGGGGCUUGGGAAUAUCCCACUGGGGGGAUUGGGAGGCCUGCAAAGGUAGGUAGAGGGCCACACAGUGAGGGGUGCAGAAGGGAGGGCCUGUGGACAGAGGGGGUGAACCCAAGGACGGCAAGCAGCAGCAGGGACAGGCGUGAUCACAGGAGGCCACCUGUGAAGGGGGAAGGCCAGAUUUAGCAGGAGCGUGGACUCCCCGCCUCUUGCUCUUUCCCCCACCGUGUUGUAGCUCCUUAGUGUGGGUAUCCUCCCACCUCACUUCGCAUGGGAACCCUUCCGCAAGUGGCUUCACUUACACCUGUGUCUUGUUCUGUCUGGGCUGCUGUAACAAAAUAUCUGAGGCUGGGUAAUUUAUAAACCACAGAGAGUUAUGGAGGCUGGAAGUCCAAGACCAAGGCACAGGCAGGUUUGAUGUCUGCUGAGGCCUUGACCACCGCAUCACAUGGUGGAAGGCAGACGGGCAGAAAGAGGACAAACACUGUGUCCUCACAGCAGAAGAGAAUGAACCUCCUCCCUCCAGCCCUUUGAUAAGGGCCCUAACCCCAUCUGGAAGGGCUCUACCUGAUGACUUAAUCAACUCCUAAAGGCCCUGCCUCUUAAAACUAUCUCAUGGGGAUUAUGUUUCAAUAUAUAAAUUUUGUGAGACACAUUCAGACCAUAGCAACCUACUAUGUUCUUUUUCCUUAUCUGUAAUGACUGGUUAUGCUUAUAAAUGUUUGAAAGCAAAAGUGCCUUUUCCGUGAAAUUUUGCAUCUGUUUCCAUUUUAUCCCUUCUCUGAGCAUCAUGGAGACUCAGCUGUCCCGCCCCGGAGACUGGUGUCAGGAACCUGGUGUAUGGUCUCCAAGCUACGCUGCUGCUCUGAUGCUUCUCAUCUCUUUGACUCUUGAGCUGAGGUUGAUCCCUCCUACUAUCUUGUGUGGUGUUGAGUGGAGGAGGGGACAGGCAGGGAAGGGGCGUGUGGCCAGCCCACAGUCACCCACUCUUGC